GGGGACAUAGCGCAAUGGCUAGAGCGCUUCCAUGGCAUGGAAGAGGUUGUGGGUUCGAGUCCCAUUGUCUCCACCA
rnacentral:tRNA from 1 species